GAUGAACGCUGGCGGCGUGCCUAAUACAUGCAAGUCGAGCGAACGGACGAGAAGCUUGCUUUUCUGAUGUUAGCGGCGGACGGGUGAGUAACACGUGGAUAACCUACCUAUAAGACUGGGAUAACUUCGGGAAACCGGAGCUAAUACCGGAUAAUAUUUUGAACCGCAUGGUUCAAAAGUGAAAGACGGUCUUGCUGUCACUUAUAGAUGGAUCCGCGCUGCAUUAGCUAGUUGGUAAGGUAACGGCUUACCAAGGCAACGAUGCAUAGCCGACCUGAGAGGGUGAUCGGCCACACUGGAACUGAGACACGGUCCAGACUCCUACGGGAGGCAGCAGUAGGGAAUCUUCCGCAAUGGGCGAAAGCCUGACGGAGCAACGCCGCGUGAGUGAUGAAGGUCUUCGGAUCGUAAAACUCUGUUAUUAGGGAAGAACAUAUGUGUAAGUAACUGUGCACAUCUUGACGGUACCUAAUCAGAAAGCCACGGCUAACUACGUGCCAGCAGCCGCGGUAAUACGUAGGUGGCAAGCGUUAUCCGGAAUUAUUGGGCGUAAAGCGCGCGUAGGCGGUUUUUUAAGUCUGAUGUGAAAGCCCACGGCUCAACCGUGGAGGGUCAUUGGAAACUGGAAAACUUGAGUGCAGAAGAGGAAAGUGGAAUUCCAUGUGUAGCGGUGAAAUGCGCAGAGAUGUGGAGGAACACCAGUGGCGAAGGCGACUUUCUGGUCUGUAACUGACGCUGAUGUGCGAAAGCGUGGGGAUCAAACAGGAUUAGAUACCCUGGUAGUCCACGCCGUAAACGAUGAGUGCUAAGUGUUAGGGGGUUUCCGCCCCUUAGUGCUGCAGCUAACGCAUUAAGCACUCCGCCUGGGGAGUACGACCGCAAGGUUGAAACUCAAAGGAAUUGACGGGGGCCCGCACAAGCGGUGGAGCAUGUGGUUUAAUUCGAAGCAACGCGAAGAACCUUACCAAGUCUUGACAUCCUUUGACAACUCUAGAGAUAGAGCCUUCCCCUUCGGGGGACAAAGUGACAGGUGGUGCAUGGUUGUCGUCAGCUCGUGUCGUGAGAUGUUGGGUUAAGUCCCGCAACGAGCGCAACCCUUAAGCUUAGUUGCCAUCAUUAAGUUGGGCACUCUAAGUUGACUGCCGGUGACAAACCGGAGGAAGGUGGGGAUGACGUCAAAUCAUCAUGCCCCUUAUGAUUUGGGCUACACACGUGCUACAAUGGACAAUACAAAGGGCAGCGAAACCGCGAGGUCAAGCAAAUCCCAUAAAGUUGUUCUCAGUUCGGAUUGUAGUCUGCAACUCGACUACAUGAAGCUGGAAUCGCUAGUAAUCGUAGAUCAGCAUGCUACGGUGAAUACGUUCCCGGGUCU
rnacentral:rRNA from 1 species